UUAAGUUAUUAAGGGCGCACGGUGGAUGCCUUGGCACUAGAAGCCGAUGAAGGACGUUACUAACGACGAUAUGCUUUGGGGAGCUGUAAGUAAGCUUUGAUCCAGAGAUUUCCGAAUGGGGAAACCCAGCAUGAGUUAUGUCAUGUUAUCGAUAUGUGAAUACAUAGCAUAUCAGAAGGCACACCCGGAGAACUGAAACAUCUUAGUACCCGGAGGAAGAGAAAGAAAAUUCGAUUCCCUUAGUAGCGGCGAGCGAAACGGGAAGAGCCCAAACCAACAAGCUUGCUUGUUGGGGUUGUAGGACACUCUAUACGGAGUUACAAAGGACGACAUUAGACGAAUCAUCUGGAAAGAUGAAUCAAAGAAGGUAAUAAUCCUGUAGUCGAAAAUGUUGUCUCUCUUGAGUGGAUCCUGAGUACGACGGAGCACGUGAAAUUCCGUCGGAAUCUGGGAGGACCAUCUCCUAAGGCUAAACACUCUCUAGUGACCGAUAGUGAACCAGUACCGUGAGGGAAAGGUGAAAAGCACCCCGGAAGGGGAGUGAAAUAGAACCUGAAACCGUGUGCUUACAAGUAGUCAGAGCCCGUUAAUGGGUGAUGGCGUGCCUUUUGUAGAAUGAACCGGCGAGUUACGAUUUGAUGCAAGGUUAAGCAGUAAAUGUGGAGCCGUAGCGAAAGCGAGUCUGAAUAGGGCGUUUAGUAUUUGGUCGUAGACCCGAAACCAGGUGAUCUACCCUUGGUCAGGUUGAAGUUCAGGUAACACUGAAUGGAGGACCGAACCGACUUACGUUGAAAAGUGAGCGGAUGAACUGAGGGUAGCGGAGAAAUUCCAAUCGAACCUGGAGAUAGCUGGUUCUCUCCGAAAUAGCUUUAGGGCUAGCCUCAAGUGAUGAUUAUUGGAGGUAGAGCACUGUUUGGACGAGGGGCCCCUCUCGGGUUACCGAAUUCAGACAAACUCCGAAUGCCAAUUAAUUUAACUUGGGAGUCAGAACAUGGGUGAUAAGGUCCGUGUUCGAAAGGGAAACAGCCCAGACCACCAGCUAAGGUCCCAAAAUAUAUGUUAAGUGGAAAAGGAUGUGGCGUUGCCCAGACAACUAGGAUGUUGGCUUAGAAGCAGCCAUCAUUUAAAGAGUGCGUAAUAGCUCACUAGUCGAGUGACACUGCGCCGAAAAUGUACCGGGGCUAAACAUAUUACCGAAGCUGUGGAUUGUCCUUUGGACAAUGGUAGGAGAGCGUUCUAAGGGCGUUGAAGCAUGAUCGUAAGGACAUGUGGAGCGCUUAGAAGUGAGAAUGCCGGUGUGAGUAGCGAAAGACGGGUGAGAAUCCCGUCCACCGAUUGACUAAGGUUUCCAGAGGAAGGCUCGUCCGCUCUGGGUUAGUCGGGUCCUAAGCUGAGGCCGACAGGCGUAGGCGAUGGAUAACAGGUUGAUAUUCCUGUACCACCUAUAAUCGUUUUAAUCGAUGGGGGGACGCAGUAGGAUAGGCGAAGCGUGCGAUUGGAUUGCACGUCUAAGCAGUAAGGCUGAGUAUUAGGCAAAUCCGGUACUCGUUAAGGCUGAGCUGUGAUGGGGAGAAGACAUUGUGUCUUCGAGUCGUUGAUUUCACACUGCCGAGAAAAGCCUCUAGAUAGAAAAUAGGUGCCCGUACCGCAAACCGACACAGGUAGUCAAGAUGAGAAUUCUAAGGUGAGCGAGCGAACUCUCGUUAAGGAACUCGGCAAAAUGACCCCGUAACUUCGGGAGAAGGGGUGCUCUUUAGGGUUAACGCCCAGAAGAGCCGCAGUGAAUAGGCCCAAGCGACUGUUUAUCAAAAACACAGGUCUCUGCUAAACCGUAAGGUGAUGUAUAGGGGCUGACGCCUGCCCGGUGCUGGAAGGUUAAGAGGAGUGGUUAGCUUCUGCGAAGCUACGAAUCGAAGCCCCAGUAAACGGCGGCCGUAACUAUAACGGUCCUAAGGUAGCGAAAUUCCUUGUCGGGUAAGUUCCGACCCGCACGAAAGGCGUAACGAUUUGGGCACUGUCUCAACGAGAGACUCGGUGAAAUCAUAGUACCUGUGAAGAUGCAGGUUACCCGCGACAGGACGGAAAGACCCCGUGGAGCUUUACUGUAGCCUGAUAUUGAAAUUCGGCACAGCUUGUACAGGAUAGGUAGGAGCCUUUGAAACGUGAGCGCUAGCUUACGUGGAGGCGCUGGUGGGAUACUACCCUAGCUGUGUUGGCUUUCUAACCCGCACCACUUAUCGUGGUGGGAGACAGUGUCAGGCGGGCAGUUUGACUGGGGCGGUCGCCUCCUAAAAGGUAACGGAGGCGCUCAAAGGUUCCCUCAGAAUGGUUGGAAAUCAUUCAUAGAGUGUAAAGGCAUAAGGGAGCUUGACUGCGAGACCUACAAGUCGAGCAGGGUCGAAAGACGGACUUAGUGAUCCGGUGGUUCCGCAUGGAAGGGCCAUCGCUCAACGGAUAAAAGCUACCCCGGGGAUAACAGGCUUAUCUCCCCCAAGAGUUCACAUCGACGGGGAGGUUUGGCACCUCGAUGUCGGCUCAUCGCAUCCUGGGGCUGUAGUCGGUCCCAAGGGUUGGGCUGUUCGCCCAUUAAAGCGGUACGCGAGCUGGGUUCAGAACGUCGUGAGACAGUUCGGUCCCUAUCCGUCGUGGGCGUAGGAAAUUUGAGAGGAGCUGUCCUUAGUACGAGAGGACCGGGAUGGACAUACCUCUGGUGUACCAGUUGUCGUGCCAACGGCAUAGCUGGGUAGCUAUGUGUGGACGGGAUAAGUGCUGAAAGCAUCUAAGCAUGAAGCCCCCCUCAAGAUGAGAUUUCCCAACUUCGGUUAUAAGAUCCCUCAAAGAUGAUGAGGUUAAUAGGUUCGAGGUGGAAGCAUGGUGACAUGUGGAGCUGACGAAUACUAAUCGAUCGAAGACUUAAUCAA
rnacentral:rRNA from 1 species